CUAUCGUCAUAUGGCCUUAUAGCUUAGAUUAAGGUGUAGUAUCUGUUCUUAUCAGCUUAUGAUCUGAUAUAUCCUCCAUUGAAGGAAAACAAAUAUUAAACUGUUUUAUUGACUUAGACGGAGUGCUAGGAGCUAGGGUUGAACUGUAUUGCAGUACCGCCGGGACUUUCGCCCAACUUAG